GAACGGGCGUAUCAGCGGUUUUGAACGCCGGGCAUUCGUGUUGCAAACCCAACCCGUUCC
rnacentral:tRNA from 1 species